rnacentral:rRNA from 1 species
AUUGAACGCUGGCGGCAGGCCUAACACAUGCAAGUCGAGCGGAUGAAGGGAGCUUGCUCCUGGAUUCAGCGGCGGAUGGGUGAGUAAUGCCUAGGAAUCUGCCUGGUAGUGGGGGAUAACGUCCGGAAACGGGCGCUAAUACCGCAUACGUCCUGAGGGAGAAAGUGGGGGAUCUUCGGACCUCACGCUAUCAGAUGAGCCUAGGUCGGAUUAGCUAGUUGGUGGGGUAAAGGCCUACCAAGGCGACGAUCCGUAACUGGUCUGAGAGGAUGAUCAGUCACACUGGAACUGGGACACGGUCCAGACUCCUACGGGAGGCAGCAGUGGGGAAUAUUGGACAAUGGGCGAAAGCCUGAUCCAGCCAUGCCGCGUGUGUGAAGAAGGUCUUCGGAUUGUAAAGCACUUUUAGUUGGGAGGAAGGGCAGUAAGUUAAUACCUUGCUGUUUUGACGUUACCAACAGAAUAAGCACCGGCUAACUUCGUG